rnacentral:rRNA from 1 species
UACGUAGGGGGGCAAGCGUUGUCCGGAUUUAUUGGGCGUAAAGAGCGUGUAGGCGGUUAGGUAGGUCCGUUGUGAAAACUCGAGGCUCAACCUCGAGACGCCGAUGGAAACCAUCUGACUAGAGUCCGGAAGAGGAGAGUGGAAUUCCUGGUGUAGCGGUGAAAUGCGCAGAUAUCAGGAAGAACACCCGUGGCUAAGGCGGCUCUCUAGUACGGUACUGACGCUGAGACACGAAAGCGUGGGUAGCAAACAGG